GGAUGCGAUCAUACCACCACUAACGCACCGGAUCCCAUCAGAACUCCGAAGUUAACAGGUCUUGGGCGAAGUGAGUACUAGGAUGGGUGACCCUCGGAGAAGUCCUCGUGUUGCAUCCC